rnacentral:rRNA from 1 species
GUAGGGAAUCUUCCGCAAUGGACGAAAGUCUGACGGAGCAACGCCGCGUGAGCGAAGAAGGUCUUCGGAUCGUAAAGCUCUGUUGUCAGGGAAGAACAAGUACCGUUCGAACAGGGCGGUACCUUGACGGUAUCUGACGAGGAAGCCACGGCUAACUACGUGCCAGCAGCCGCGGUAAUACGUAGGUGGCAAGCGUUGUCCGGAAUUAUUGGGCGUAAAGCGCGCGCAGGCGGUUCCUUAAGUCUGAUGUGAAAUCUCGCGGCUCAACCGCGAGCGGCCAUUGGAAACUGGGGAACUUGAGUACAGGAGAGGGGAGCGGAAUUCCACGUGUAGCGGUGAAAUGCGUAGAGAUGUGGAGGAACACCAGUGGCGAAGGCGGCUCUCUGGCCUGUAACUGACGCUGAGGCGCGAAAGCGUGGGGAGCGAACAGGAUUAGAUACCCUUGUAGUCC